rnacentral:rRNA from 1 species
CUGGCGGCAUGCCUAACACAUGCAAGUCGAACGGAGUUCGAGGGGCUUGCUCCUUGAACUUAGUGGCGGACGGGUGAGUAACGCGUGAGUAACCUGCCUUUCGAGUGGGAAUAAUAUCUGAAAAGAGUACUAAUACCGCAUUAACGUAUAGAAGCCGCAUGACUUUUAUACCAAAGAUUUAUCGCUGAGAGAUGGACUCGCGUCCGAUUAGCCAGUUGGUGAGGUAACGGCUCACCAAAGCAACGAUCGGUAGCCGGACUGAGAGGUUGAACGGCCACAUUGGGACUGAGACACGGCCCAGACUCCUACGGGAGGCAGCAGUGGGGAUAUUGUGCAAUGGGGGAAACCCUGACACAAGCAAUGCCGCGUGAAGGAUGAAGGUCUUCGGAUUGUAAACUUCUUUUGUCAAGGACGAUAAUGACGGUACUUGACGAAUAAGCUCCGGCUAACUACGUGCCAGCAGCCGC